GGGGAUUUAGCUCAGUGGUACAGCCUAUGUCUUGGCAAGCAUGAGGUCCUGAGUUCAAUUCCCAGUACCUUCC
rnacentral:tRNA from 1 species